rnacentral:tRNA from 1 species
GGACUGUGGCUCAGCGGUAGAGUGCUCACCUAGCAUGUGUGAGGCCCUGGGUUUGAUCCUUACCACCA